UUGACCUCAAAUCGGGUGAAACUACCCGCUGAACUUAAGCAUAUCAAUAAGCGGAGGA
rnacentral:rRNA from 1 species